AGUGAGGCGUUCGGACUGGCCCAGGGAGGUCGGCAACGACCACCCAGGGCCGGAAAGUUCGUCAAACUUGGUCAUUUAGAGGAAGUAAAAGUCGUAACAAGGUCUCCGUAGGUGAACCUGCGGAGGGAUCAUUA
rnacentral:rRNA from 1 species